rnacentral:lncRNA from 1 species
UAUUUGUAUCCCCAGUUAGAGGGCUUAAAGUAUCUUGUUUAGAGAGACAAAGCUGGUAGCUGAUUUCUAAUUCAAGCCCACAUUGCAUUGCUGGAGUUCAGGCUAGGAGGUAGAGGAGUGGGGAAAGAAGAGAUCAUAGAGAGUUUCAGACAGCAAAGAAAACAUCACAUUUUCUCAAAUGUAAGAACUAAAACAAGCAAGCAAGGAGGUGUCAACUUAGUAAAGGAAACCAGGGUGAGGCCAGCAGGGGUCCGACCACCACCUUUGGAGUCUUGCAGGCUCCUCCUCAAAUGA